rnacentral:rRNA from 1 species
GUUAGGAAUAUUGGACAAUGGGCGAAAGCCUGAUCCAGCCAUGCCGCGUGAACGAUGAAGGCCUUCGGGUUGUAAAGUUCUUUAGCCGAUGAUUAUAAUGACUGUAGUCGGAAAAUAAGCCCCGGCUAACUUCGUGCCAGCAGCCGCGGUAAUACGAAGGGGGCGAGCGUUAUUCGGAAUCACUGGGCGUAAAGCGUGCGUAGGCGGUUUUGUAAGUUAGGAGUGAAAGCCCAGGGCUCAACCUUGGAAUUGCUCUUAAAACUGCAAGGCUCGAAUCUCGGAGAGGAUAGCGGAAUUUCCAGUGUAGCAGUGAAAUGCGUAGAUAUUGGAAGGAACACCAGUGGCGUAAGCGGCUAUCUGGACGAGUAUUGACGCUGAGGCACGAAAGUGUGGGGAUCAAACAGGAUUAGAUACCCUUGUAGUCC